CCUACGGGUGGCAGCAGUGAGGAAUAUUGGUCAAUGGGCGGAAGUCUGAACCAGCCAAGUAGCGUGCAGGAUGACGGCCCUACGGGUUGUAAACUGCUUUUAUACGGGAAUAACGAGCCUUACGUGUAGGGCUUUGCAUGUACCGUAUGAAUAAGGACCGGCUAAUUCCGUGCCAGCAGCCGCGGUAAUACGGAGCAUUCAAGCGUUAUCCGGAUUUAUUGGGUUUAAAGGGUGCGUAGGCGGUCGGAUAAGUUAGUGGUGAAAUCUAGAGGCUCAACUUCGAAAUUGCAUCUGAUACUGUGCGGCUAGAGAGCAGUUGAGGUAGGCGGAAUGUGUGGUGUAGCGGUGAAAUGCUUAGAGAUCACACAGAACACCGAUUGCGAAGGCAGCUUACCAAGCUAAUUCUGACGUUGAGGCACGAAAGCGUGGGGAGCAAACAGGAAUAGAUACCCCAGUAGUC
rnacentral:rRNA from 1 species